UACGUAGGGUGCGAGCGUUGUCCGGAAUUAUUGGGCGUAAAGAGCUCGUAGGCGGUUUGUCGCGUCGGCCGUGAAAUCUCCACGCUUAACGUGGAGCGUGCGGUCGAUACGGGCAGACUUGAGUUCGGUAGGGGAGACUGGAAUUCCUGAUGUAGCGGUGAAAUGCGCAGAUAUCAGGAGGAACACCGGUGGCGAAGGCGGGUCUCUGGGCCGAUACUGACGCUGAGGAGCGAAAGCGUGGGGAGCGAACAGG
rnacentral:rRNA from 1 species